UUGUGGAGUGGGAAUCGCUCCACUUCGGUUCAAAGCGAUAUUUUGCUUGGGUUUAAACACGAUAGAAAUUAGGUUUUAAACUCUAUUCUCGUUCACCCAAAACAGAGAACCAACGAGAGAGAGAGAGCACGUAUACGGCGUAUACGAUACCGAAAAUUUUUGUUUCUUCAAGCGGAGUGAAACCUGGGUGAACGUGGGGGUUUGGGAUCACUUAUAUACGACCUAAGGAAGCUUUUUAACGUGGUAUAAGGGGCGGAAGUCGUCAUUUUGAGAUUCACCAUUUUUGAAGCUUCAAAGGUGCGGCUUAGUUACGGACUCGAAUUCGAACGUGUUUAAGCUUGUUCUUGGGUCAAGGGAGGUUAUAUUUGAGUGCAUGGGACCCUAAGGAUUGUUUUUGACGUAAGAAAACGAAGCUUUAACGUCCAAAACGAAAAUCCAAAAUUUUGGACUCCAUUAAAGACGGUACACCGCCAACGAAGAAGACAACCCCGAUCUGCCUUCUCGGACCACUUUUCUUGAUCGUUUUGAGGUCCUGAGCAUUGUGGAGAGCUUCCCCAAUCGAAAGGACGCUUCAAGAGCCAUCGGAGACAAAGUUACACUUUACCGGCGACGAAACCGACGAGAACGCCGGCGACCGCGUUCUGACCGUUUCUGAGGUAAGGGUAAGGCUAAGCAGUGAGAAUGAAGAGCUCGAGGCGUGGACCGCAUGUUAGGGGGCUGGCACAGUAUUUUGCUUUUAAUGUUUUUAACUGCUAAACAUUUUGGAACUAUUAUUUUGACUUAACUAGUUCUUAUUUAAGUUUACAGUACUAAAAGAAUUUUGUUUUAAACAAUGAGAUCUCAUGCUUGGAUAUUUUUCAAUAAAGAAGUAUUUGUUUGUCUUUA